rnacentral:rRNA from 1 species
UACGGGGGGGGCAAGCGUUGUUCGGAAUUACUGGGCGUAAAGGGCUCGUAGGCGGCCAACUAAGUCGGAUGUGAAAUCCCCAGGCUUAACCUGGGAACUGCAUCCGAUACUGGAUGGCUUGAAUCCGGGAGAGGGAUGCGGAAUUCCAGGUGUAGCGGUGAAAUGCGUAGAUAUCUGGAGGAACACCGGUGGCGAAGGCGGCAUCCUGGACCGGCAUUGACGCUGAGGAGCGAAAGCGAGGGGAGCAAACGGG